GUUUUUUGUUUUUUUUUUUUUUUUAAGAGAAAACAGUGUAGCACAUUUGUAUCUCACAGCACAAAGAGAAUUUAAGCUUUCUGAAGAAGAAGUCAAGGUGUGUUAGUUAGAGAAAGAUUAAAACUAGAUGCCUAGGUAACACAAAACUAUAGGAAUUCACCACAGGAUUUUAUAAGAAGAUCAAUUUUAGUUAGGUAGUUUUCAAGUUAGUCUCCAUUUUCCAAUUGGACUAUUGAGCUCAGGGUGGAACCUAUUAAUGAAUAGUGCCAACAAAGUGCUUACAGUUUCCUGGGCCUAAUUACUGGUAUUUGUGAAAAGCAGACACAGCUGGAAGGCAGAGCACCUAGAUCCUAGAAAUUUAUGACCCCAUUUUCACACUGAAUUCCAGGUUCCCACAGUGGAGGCAAAAGUCCAAGAGAGAAAGGUCAUGGAAACAGGUCGUGCAAUCUUCUACAGUGUAUCUCAGUGGAAGGAAAGUCCCCCAAGGCUGGUGGGUGACUCAAUACAAGUCCCCCAAGGCUGGUAGGAUUCCAGCCCACUCCGUCAUCAGCCUAUCCCCCAUAGGAGUCUGGAGUCUUAUCCUUUGGUGGUGAGUGUUCCUACAGCCUCCAAGUUUCCAAAAUGUACUUAAAAAAAAAAAAAUCUAACCAUGAAAAAAAAGAGAGAGAGUAGCACCUGUGUAAUACCCAUUCAUUGCAACCACUGUCAGCCACCUCCAAAACUGCAGCCCUCACCAGUGACUGCAGCCACUGAAUUUAGAGCCAGCCAUUGCAUACUCAAGGAUCAGGUGUUCUCUCAUAGUACAAAAUAACUUCUGGUACCCUCAAAGCCAAAGCUAUCAGAGAACUCAGUGCAAAUGAGAGCAGAGCUUUAGACCUGAGACGAACCUGCUCAUGAAUUUUGGUGCUUCAUGAAGAAGACAGAAGACCCCAAAAUGUGGUCAGAGGCACCUUUUUUGUCUUCUUUAAGGAGUGUCAUAGUUGCUAGGGGUCCCCUCUAGAUCUCUUCAUGUGGUAUUAAAGGUGGCAAAAAAGGAAGGAAUAAUAAAAGUAAAUGGGAUAACAAGUCUCAGGGAAGCCAGUUUGGGGAGAUUUAAAACUUCUCAAAAAAGUCAACGAAGUUUUAUGUUUUUCUAAGCAAAAAGUUAUACCAACAGGAAAGGAAGCAGAGGGAUGAAACAUAUGAAACAUAUAAAUUUUUUAACAUAUAUAUACACACACAUAUGUAUGCAUGUAUAUGUAUACACACACACGCACACAUACAUAUUUUGAGACAGGGUCUCACUCUGUCACCCAGGCUGGCGUGCAUUGGCACCAUCAUGGCUCACUGCAGCCUCGACCUCCCAGGCUCAAGUGACCCUAUCAUCUUAGCCUCCCAAGUAGGUGGGACCACAGGUGCAUGCCACCAUACUCAGGUAAUUUUUUUUUUUUUUUUUGUAGACAUGAGUUCUCCAUAUGUUGCCCAAGCUGGUCUUGAACUCCCGGGCUUAAAUGAUCUGCCUCAGCCUCCCAAAAUGUUGGAAUUAUAGGCAUAAGCCAUCAUGCCCAGCCCAAACAUAUAACUUUUUAUAAAAAGUUUCAGUAAACUAAAAAAAAUUCCCAUGGGAGAAACACGUUCCAAAAGAGAAAAAGCAGAAAGGCCUUAAAAAAAAGUUUUCGUUUGAAUAUCAACUUUUAAUUAAGCUGGCACUGACCACAUAAAGCUUUUUAAAAACAGUCUUUUAAAAACUAUCAGUUUAGCCAUGACAAACAGCCAAUAUUCUUGGUUUUGAACUUCUUUAAAUCAAAGUUAUCUUCCAAGUGAUUCCAACCAAAACCUAUAAGCCUUUUAUGACUUACCCAAAGAUGCGUAAGGCAUCUCCAAAAAGGUGCAAAGCAGUUCUCACAAGAACCAGAACUACCCCAAAGACAGCUCAAGGAAAAAAAUUUACUAGUUGCAAAUGGGGUACAACAUACAUUUCUGACCAACCAUGUUCUUUAGGGUCUUGGCUUAUCAACCAACCAUCUUCACAUAAAGUCUCAGCAAUUGCAUAGAGGGAAGAUUAAAAGGGACAAACAAUUAGUAAGACAGGAAAUUGAAAGCUGUCCAUGGAAGGGAACAAGAACAGUAAUAAAUGGGUACCACAAAAGUCAAGAGUUACAUGAAUAUCAAACCUGUAAUCACCCAAUGAGUUCUUCCUGCCUGCUCUACAGACAGAAUCAAUUCAUUCAGAGCAUGCCAUUGCAAUAGAGAAAGAGUUUCAUUGAUGUGAGGUCAGCCAUAUGGAAGAACUGAAAUUAUCACUCAAAUCAGUCUCUACAAAGGCUCAGAAGUUAGGAUUUUUAUGGACAAUUUGGUGGACAGGGUGAUACGGAAUGGGUGCUGCUGAUUGGUUGGGGAUGAAAUCAUAGGGGCAUGGAAAAUGAUCCACAUGUGCCACCUCUGCCUUGGAUAGGUGCCACACGACCAGUUGAGUCAUGAGUCAUGGGUCCAGGUGCGGUCAGUUGGCUGCAAGACAGUCUGAAAAAAAUCUCAAAACACCAAUGUUAGGUUCUACAGUAGUGAUGUUAUCUAUAGGAGCAAUUGGAGAGGUCACAAAUCUUGUGACCUCUGGCCACAUGACUCCUGAGAAGUAAGGGAUUAUAGAAACUAUACCUACAUCUUAUCAGCAUUCAGACACCACUCAUAAUCCUAACCUUAUGGCCUUUCAUUAAUUCUACAAAGGUCGGUUAGCUUGGGGAAGGGGUUAUUACCAUCUUUUCUUUAAGAUUAAACUAUAAACUAAGCUCUUCCCAAAGUUAGCUUGGCCUAUGUCUAGGAAUAUAAUACUAGACUACAAGUUGAAACGUCUUCUUUUUAAAUCCUGUGGGGAAUCCAAAGCAGGCAGUUUUAGCGUACAAAGGAUUUUAACUUUGUUUUAAAUCUAAUUUCUGCUUUUUUUUUUUUUAAAGGAGAAUUUCUAAGGCUAGUCAUGGCACUAAUAUGUAUCUUUCUUUCAAUUUGAUCCUGCCACAAACACAAAUAAGGCAGUUACUUAGAAUGGAGUAAAAUCUUUUUCAAAUAUAGGAGUCUUUCUAGUCCAAAGGAUCCAUCUUCUGGCCACUAAUGAUUAGAAUUUCCAACUGUGUAUUUAUUUCAAUAGCAACUCAAUUCAAUAAACCUCUUCAUGGAUAAACCAGCAGGUGAUUUUCCAGGUUUGGAAUAAGUGUCUACCACAUAAGCAAGCAUGUCUCUGGAGAGGGCAUAGAACAGGCAAUUCCCAUGAUUCCCCCAAAUUCACUCCCAGAAAUAGGCCAAAAUAGCAAAAACCUCAUGUCACAGAUGGUAAAGAACGGUGUUUGUGUGCACUGUUUCUUCAUGUUCUGCAGGGAGCAAGUCUAUGCAAAUCUACCCCCAAAAUUUAAGGAAGCUAAGAGGCUGAAGAAACAGGCUGACAAUCCAGUUUCUCAGGAAGAAACAUUUAAUAGGGACUUAACAAACAGAAGCCAUCUCUGUGUCUUGUUUGAUGGCAAGACAAGAUGGUGCAUCCCUGCACCAUUUACCCUCCCAGGCCCAGGGUUUACAUACCACAGGGGAGUAAUGUGUAGGACAAGGGAAGUCAACACCCGGGGAAAGGCAAAACUGCUAUGUGAAUCUGCCUAAGGGCAGGAUUUAAAGUCAAGGUUAUUUGACCUAAGGGCAGAAUUUACUGGAACAGUAAAGUAGAAAUCUUAGAAGUAUUCUCAGAUCAGGGAAUCAGAAGUCAACAUGGUGGAUAAGCAUUCAAAAUGGAAUGCUUUAGCCUCUACACUUAAAUAACCCACAAAUUCAUAGGGGACUACCAGUCACAGAUCCUUUAAUUGGUGACAACAGGUAGGUUCACUUUGGAUUAGACUUCCCAGAACUAAGAAGGCAACAAAAAUUGAGGCAACAAAAGUCCCUUAUGGGUAAGACUUCUUAUGAAGACAGACUUCCCUGGCCGAGAGUGGUGGCUUACGUCUGUAAUCCCAACACUUUGGGAAGCAAGGCAAGAGGAUCCCUUGAGGCCAGGAGUUUGAGAUGAGGUUGGGCAACAUCUCCCACUCCCCUAAACAACAACAACAAAAGAGAGAAAUUAGCCAGGCAUGGUGGUACACACCUGUAGUCCCAGCCACUGGGCCGAGGCAAGAGGAUCUGUUGAGCCCAGGAGUUUGAGGAUGCAGCGAGCUAUUAUUGCACCACUGCACUCCAGCCUGGGUGACAGAGUGAGACCCUGUCGCUUUAAAAAAAAAAAAAAA
rnacentral:lncRNA from 1 species